GACGAAGGAUGCAAGCGUUAUCCGGAUUCAUUGGGUUUAAAGGGUGUGUAGGCGGACUUUUAAGUCAGUGGUGAAAUCCCGAGGCUCAACCUCGGAACUGCCUUUGAUACUAUUAGUCUUGAAUGUUGUUGAGGUGGGCGGAACGGGUCAUGUAGCGGUGAAAUGCAUAGAUAUGACCCGGAACACCGAUUGCGAAGGCAGCCCGCUAAGCAACUAUUGACGCUGAGGCACGAAAGCGUGGGGAUCAAACAGG
rnacentral:rRNA from 1 species